UCACAAUGACCUCAAGAGAUCACACUGCCUUGAACCAUAACUUCUGGAUUUUCAACAUCAUACAAUAGAUGAGUUAGGUGCAGAACAUGAUCCAUUCAUGGAUUUGAUAGCGAUAUUCAUGAACUUCAAACAUAUCAUUCAUUUUUGUUUUUAUGUUGACACUGCUGUAUCUGGAACUAUGGACAGGGAAUAAGUUUCAAAUUACCAAAGUCUUGCUUAGUAGCAAACACCAAAGUUCAUGGUAGUUGCUUGUACUGACUCCAUGGUCUGUAGCUCGUCCCGUGCGGCCUUUUUUAAGGUAUUUUCGCUCUUGUGUUUUGAUUGCGGAUUAGGAUGGAUUCCUUAAGAGAUAUUGGUGCUAUUACUUGACAAAACACAUCUUGGUGAUCAAUUUAUCUAAUCUUCUCAUGAGCACCUAAGAUUUAAGAUUUUGCCAAAGUUUCACUAGGAUUCCUGGAUUUCUGUGAAAUUCGUCCUCAAAUAUCUAUCAUUUUGUGAUUUUUUUUGUUGGAUUAAAUCACUGUGAGUUAUUACUAUUGUGGCUCAGAUUUCUUGCCAUUCUGUUUUGUUUGAUCUUUUUUGAGAGCUCGUUACUUGUUUUGAGGUGUUCCAGUCCAAAGCUUUGUUCAGCAAUUUACAGAAAACAACCAGCGCCCAGCUUGCUUGUCAGCUCGAUUGUUUUUUCUGCAGCCUAUUUCCAGUAGCAGCUUGAUCUUGGCUCCUCUCUUUUGCAGGUACAAAAGCACACCAGCUAUCCAGCGACAAGUGAAGCAACAACAGAGUAGUUCAGCAUGGCUUCAAUAUUCAAAUUGAAGUGUCAUCUUCAUGCUUCAGAUGAGAUGGAGACCUUCACCGCCCUCAAGUGUCAUCAAGAUGAAGGAUUGCACAUAUCAUAUCUUUUAGUUUUAUGAUUUACUUUUUCUAGACUCCACUGUAGUAUUAGAAGGGAUCAGGAUACCCACUGCUCCAUGCUUUUUAUGUUCUACUUCCACACUUGCUACCUUGUUGAAAUAUUUGGUUUCAUUGGUACUCAGUCGGAUUGCUAAUAUUUAUUGUUGGAAACUGUUUAAAUUGCUUUUCGUGUGAA